UGAUAUUAUACGUAGGAGGUGUCGAUC
rnacentral:sRNA from 1 species